rnacentral:rRNA from 1 species
UACAGAGGGUGCGAGCGUUAAUCGGAAUGACUGGGCGUAAAGGGUGCGUAGGUGGUUUGAUAAGUUAGGUGUGAAAGUCCUGGGCUUAACCUGGGGAUUGCGCUUAAGACUGUCAAGCUAGAGUACUGUAGAGGAAGGUGGAAUUUCCGGUGUAGCAGUGAAAUGCGUAGAUAUCGGAAGGAACAUCAGUGGCGAAGGCGACUUUCUGGACAGAUACUGACACUGAGGCACGAAAGCGUGGGGAGCAAACAGG